rnacentral:rRNA from 1 species
UACGUAGGGGGCAAGCGUUAUCCGGAUUUACUGGGUGUAAAGGGAGCGUAGGCCGGCUUUUAAGUCAGCUGUGAAAGUCCGCGGCUCAACCGUGGAAUUGCAGUUGAAACUGGAGGCCUUGAGUGCACACAGGGAUGCCGGAAUUCAUGGUGUAGCGGUGAAAUGCUUAGAUAUCAUGAAGAACUCCGAUCGCGAAGGCAAGUGUCCGGGGUGCAACUGACGCUGAGGCUCGAAAGUGCGGGUAUCAAACAGG